AACGUAGGACGCAAGCGUUAUCCGGAGUUACUGGGCGUAAAGGGCGCGUAGGCGGCCUCUGCAAGUCGACUGUGAAAUCUCCGGGCUUAACCCGGAAAGGUCAGCCGAUACUGCAGGGCUAGAGUGCAGAAGGGGCAACUGGAAUUCUCGGUGUAGCGGUGAAAUGCGUAGAUAUCGAGAGGAACACCUGCGGCGAAGGCGGGUUGCUGGGCUGACACUGACGCUGAAGCGCGAAAGCUAGGGGAGCGAACGGG
rnacentral:rRNA from 1 species